CAAAAGCCUAAAGUUCAGAUAAUAUUUUGCUGAUAGAUAUUUCACUUCUGCAUGCUCUGGGGGAAGUCUUCUGUUGCUCCAUAUCUGCUCUCUUAUUACUAGCAAAAACAACUGUGAAUAUUCAGUUCAAUCCAUUUAAUAUCAAAACCGUGCAUUAAUUUUCUUUUCUUUUCUUUUUCUUUCUUUUUUGAGACGGAGUCUUCGCUUUGUCACCAGUCUGGAGUGCAGUGGCAUGAUCCCGGCUCACCGCAACCUCUGCCUCCCGGGUUCAAGUGAUUCUCCUGCCUCAGCCUCCUGAGCAGCUGGGACGACAGGUGCGCACCACCAUGCACAUCUAAUUUUUGUAUUUUUAGUAGAGAAGGGAUUUCGUCAUGUUGGCCAAGAUCUCUUGCCUUGUGACCCGCCAGCCUUGGUCUCCCAAAGUGCUGGGAUUACAGGCAUGAGCCACCACACCUGGCCACUUUAUUUUCAUAUUAAAAUUAUAUUCACAUGCCUAUUAUUAAAAAGUCAAAAAAUAACAUGUAGUUGAGGGUAUGGAGAAAAGGGAACACUUAGACACUGUUGGAGGGAAUGUAAAUUAGUUUCACCCCUAAGGAAAACACUAUGGAGAUUUCUCAAAGAACUGAAAAUAGAACUACCAUUUGACCCAGCAAUCCUAUUACUGGAUAUCUACCCAAAGGGAAAUAAAUCAUUUUAUCAAAAGACACCUGCACUUGUAUAUUUAGUAUAGCACUAUUCAUAAUUGCAAAGUUAUAGGUUCAACCUAAAUACCCAUCAAUGGUAGACUGGUGAAAAAGAAAAUGUAAUACACAUAUACCAUGGAAUACUACUCAGCCAUGAAUAAGAAUAAGAUCACGUCCUUUGCAGUAACAUGGAUGGGGCUGCAGUGAAAUAUCCUAAGUGAAAUAGAAGCAGAAAAUUAAAUACCACGUGUUCUCAUUAAUAAGGGGCAGCUAAACAAUGGGUAUGCAUGGACAUAAAGGUGGAAAUAACAGAUACUUGGGACUUUGAAAGGGAGAAGGGUGGGAGGGGAGAGGAUUGAAAAACUAGCUAUUGGAUACAAUGGUCACUCUUUGGGAGAUGGCUUCAGUAGAAACCCAAACCUCAGUAUUACACAAUAUCGCCCUGGAACAAACCUGUGCGUGAAACCCAAAUCUAAAAAUAAAAAAUAAACAAGGACACAUUAAAGACUUGAAAUAAAACAAAUCAAAACUAGACAGCUUCUCUUUCAAUCAGUCUUAUUUUGCCCUGAGUUUUUUGUCUUUGGUUUAUUGGGCCGGAGAACAAAUAAUCUAGCUGUACAACCAAAAUGAAUCACGGAGCCAAAACACAGUUACCCUGAAGCCUUCAUGGUGCUCAGCAUCUCUGCAGGGUUCCAGUACGGGUCCUGCUUGGCCACGGCUGAUCCCCUUCCUAGGCCAGGACAGCCACUGAAGUGACGCACUGCAAUGAGGGGAUAUGGAUGAUAAGUGCCAUCUUUAAUUAAUGAGAAACCUCACAUUUCCUUCUUAGAGGGCUAUCAUUUGGGACGCAGAGGGAGAAGACAGGACCGUCUCUGGCAAAAGCACACUGCCUUGUUGAUUGUGCAUUGUAGCAGUAAUGUACAAAUGCCAAAGGCAGAAUGAGGCAGAAUGACACUGGACAAUCACUGUGGGAGGAGGAAGAUGAGUUUAAAGUAAAGAUCAAAUUCUCCAGGUCUGUACCCUAAUAAGAGAUGGUGGGCCAGACGUGGUGGCUGAUGCCUGUAUUCCCAGCCCUUUGGGAGGCCGAGGCAGGCGAAUCACGAGGUCAAGAGACUGAGAUCAUCCUGGCCAACAUGGUGAAACCCGAUCUUUACAAAAAAUACAAAAAAUUAGCUGGGCUUUGUGGCACACGCCUGCAGUCCCAGCUACUUGGAGGCUGAGGCAGGAGAAUCACUUGAACCUGGGAGGCAGAGGUUGCAGUGAACCGAGAUCGUGCCACUGCACUCCAGCCUGGUGACAGAGAGAGACUCCAUCUCAAAUAAAUAAAUAAAUAAAUAAGGCCGGCCGUGGUGGCUCAUGCCUGUAAUCUCAGCACUUUGGGAGGCCGAGGCAGGUGGAUCACGAGGUCAGGAGAUGGAGACCAUCCUGGCUAACACAGUGAAACCCCGUCUCUACUAAAAAAUACAAAAAAUUAGCCGGGCGUGGUGGCGGGCGCCUGUGGUCCCAGCUACUCGGGAGGCUGAGGCAGGAGAAUGGCGUGAACCUGGGAGGCGGAGCUUGCAGUGAGCCGAGAUUGCGCCACUGCACUCCAGCCUGGGUGACAGAGCGAGAUUCUGUCUCAAAAUAAAUAAAUAAAUAAGUAAAUAAAUAAACAAAUAAAUAAAUAAAAAGAGAUGGUGCCUUCCUUGAGGUUAAAUAUAAUCUCCUUUUGUUCUUUUUAAAAAUUAAUACAUCGAUUCUAUCCCAGUGUCAUACAUUUGUCUUAGAUAGUGCUCAAUGAAUAUAUGUCAAAAGAAUUAAAAAAUAAAUGAGGAAACAGAAGAAGAAAGAAAAAAAGAAGAUGGUCUGCUUCUAUAGCUCACAUUUAACACUGUAUUUCACUAAGAAACCCAACAUAGAGAAGACGUGUGAUGCGUCAUGUAGGCUAACUGGUGUAUUUUGAUUCAAUAUACCCUCAAAAUAAGUUCAUAAGUGAGCUUCAUGAAUGAGAUAUAGACCUCUGAAGACCUGAUACUUUACCAACAUUAACUGAAUUUUUAUGCAGUGGUGAUGAUACCAAGGCAAGGCACCCUGAGUACCUAUGUGUGGAUCUCAGAGAUUAACGGUAUAGACCCUGGUCGGUCCCCCUAAGUUUAAACCAUAGCUCCAUUAUUAACCAUCUAAAUAAACCUAGCCCAGCUAAGAAAUUUUCUCAUUUGUUAAUUAAAAUGAAAUGAGUGUCUACCCUCAAAGGUAAUGUUAAAGAUUUAAUUAAACUAUGCAAUGCCCUUGUCUAUUGAUAUCAAUGGAAAUUUAAUUAAAACAUGCAAUUGUUGUUAUAAAUGGAUUGAAAUAAAAUGAUUAUUUCCCACAUCCAUUUUUUUAAAAUGGAAAAACACUUUUACUUAAGUUGUUCAUUUCUAGGCAGUAAAAACAUGGGAAUUUGUUAUAUUUACUCACAAGAUACAGAUAUCAAUCUUCCACAUUUUUCUUUCCUACAAAAGAUAUCGUGGCUUAUGUUUAUUGUUUAUCUCAUUCCCAC
rnacentral:lncRNA from 10 species